UACGUAGGGGCCUAGCGUUGUCCGGAUUUAUUGGGCGUAAAGAGCUCGUAGGCGGUUUGGUGAGUCGGGUGUGAAAUCUCCACGCUCAACGUGGAGGGGCCACCCGAUACUGCCAUGACUAGAGUCCGGUAGGGGAGUGUGGAAUUCCCGGUGUAGCGGUGAAAUGCGCAGAUAUCGGGAGGAACACCAAUGGCGAAGGCAGCUUGCUGGGACGGUACUGACGCUGAGGCGCGAAAGCGUGGGGAGCAAACAGG
rnacentral:rRNA from 1 species